rfam:Equus caballus chromosome 10, whole genome shotgun sequence.
GUCUACGGCCAUACCACCCUGAAUGCGCCCGAUCUCGUCUGAUCUUGGAAUCUAAGCAGGGUCAGGCCUGGUUAGUACUUGGACGGAAGAAACAUAAAAUAUGGUAUUAUAGAAA